CGGGGUGAGUAAUGUAUGGGGAUCUGCCUGAUGGCGGGGGAUAACUACUGGAAACGGUAGCUAAUACCGCAUAAUGUCUGCGGACCAAAGCGGGGGGACCUCCGGGCCUCGCGCCAUCAGAUGAACCCAUAUGGGAUUAGCUAGUAGGUAAGGUAACGGCUUACCUAGGCGACGAUCCCUAGCUGGUCUGAGAGGAUGAUCAGCCACACUGGGACUGAGACACGGCCCAG
rnacentral:rRNA from 1 species